AUGAUUGUUUCUAGGGAAUUUUAGAGGACUUCUGUGUGGUGUGCUCCUUUGCCGAAGAAAAUGCAGAUGACAGCAUGAUUGAAAAGGUGCAGUGUGGAUUGUGCAGUCGGUGGGCACAUUUUGAGUGUGCCCAAUAUGCCCAUGAAAAUAAGGCUGUAUAUAUUUGCAAGAAAUGCCUUAAAAUAAAAUAAGGAUUUGAGAUGCUUUGGUUGUUUUUAUUAUUAUUUUAUGGAUCUUUUGAAUAAUUAUUAUCAAUUAAAUAUAUAAACACACACAGAAUCCCAUUCACAAAUAUAUACAAGUUUUAACAAUACUUUGCUACACUUUUCUUGUUGAAGUUAUUUAUUUAGUUUAAUUGAUUAUUGAUGUUUUUUUUGGCGUUUCCUUUUAACAUUACGUAUGCACAUACUGUACCGCUGAAAUCUUCAAUGUACGUUAUAAAACAGCAUCAACAGUAUACAUAAGGUGAGUAGUGGUGUAAAAUAACAUGAUUCUGCAGUGGGAGCAUUAUUUGAGAGGCGAUUGUUCUACAGAUCACACGCGCCUUACGUCAUGCUUGUGACGUAAGGCAGCAUUUUCUGAUGGGAAGCAUGAUAUGAUAGACUCCACUAUCGAGUCGCACCACGGUAGCAAAAUCUGACAAGGGAGCAGAAAUUGGAUUGCUUUGCGUUCCUGGUUGAAUUGACUAAACGUUGGUUUGAAUCAUUUGUAAACGGUGCUACUGUCCACCAACAACGCCAUCCCUUAACACUCUUGUAGGUGCGAUUAAAUGUGUAAUAUAUUUGUUUACAAAUAAAUGAUCCAAUAAUGCUACACAAUGGAUGAUUUUUAUAAUACAAUUUAAUACAUUCUGUUUAAAAUGCUAGAAAAGUUAAGGCAGAUGAAUUUAACAAUACAUUUAGGAUUAAGGUUAAAGGCACAGAAUUUCAGUGUGGAAAGGUAUAGAUUAAAAAGCUAAAAUGUAAAUCACACAAUUCACUGAAUUCCAGAAAUAGUUGAAAAAAGUCAUCUUUCAAUGUGUGUGCUUUUGAGUUGGAUCGAUGGUGGUCACUACCCUGGAUAAAUCUUUGAAUUAGCAGAAACUUUUAAAGCAGAAAUCUAUUUUGUUGGAAUAUUGGUGAAUAAAUGGACUAAAUGAUGAGAUGAAAGUCCAACCAGGCAGCACACCAUCAAUAGAGAGAGGAGCUGUGGCCUGUGUCCAUUCAUAAUCAACAGAUCCACUUGUUUCUAACAUGGUGCAGGCACACAGCUGCAGUCAUUUGUUUAAUAAACUACAGGCUGAUGAAUGCUUGUAAUGUAUUAAACAUUGGAUUCAAAGCAAGAGUCCUUAAAACAAUGUUAAGUGAAUAAAUUAUUAAUCAAAGCAACAUCUUACUUUGAAGUCUGCCUAAUUUACACAGUUCUACAGAGUUUAGAACGAGACACUGUUUGGCACAGUUUAGAGUGCGUAAUACAUGAUGGCACCACUAGGUUAAUAAGAGUGUCCGUUUACCAGGAACCAUUGCCCCGUUACACCUCCGCCCUGGCU